UACACCAGCAACCCGGAACAUAUAAAAAUUUCUCCAGACUCACUCAGCCGUUCCAACUCUCCUCCAUACCCAUACCCAGACCCAGCUCUCUGUCUCUCUCUCAAUCGCACUCGAUUCAAGCUCUCUCCCAGCCAAAUCCUUCUUAUCUCAUCUCGAUCUCUCACUCGAUUCAAGCUCUCUCUGUCUCUCACGCUCUCGAACUCGAUCUCUGUCUCACUUUCAAUCCUCUGGAUUUCUUGAUCUGUCUAUGUCUCGCUCUCUUAAUCUCUCGAUUUCUCCAUAUUUCUGAUCUAUCUCAGGCUCCCAGCCCUCUCUCAACUCUCUGGAAUAACAAGCAACCCCAAAUCUACGAAGGGACAAAUGUCUCGAUCAAGUAAGCAUCAGGAGAACAGUGGGCUUGCUGUUUCUUCAAGUGCAUAAUUUUCUGUUUUUGUCAUUUAUGUUUGGAUUGUGUUUGUAAUUUUGUAAGCCAUAAGGCAUAAUUAUCACUUAUUUUGGUUCGUAAGCCAUAAGGCAUGAGUUUUAUUUAAACCAUUUGAAUUUGGUUGAUUUGGAUAUUGAAUUUGUUGA